rnacentral:rRNA from 1 species
UGGGGAAUAUUGGACAAUGGGCGCAAGCCUGAUCCAGCCAUGCCGCGUGAGUGAUGAAGGCCCUAGGGUUGUAAAGCUCUUUUGUGCGGGAAGAUAAUGACGGUACCGCAAGAAUAAGCCCCGGCUAACUUCGUGCCAGCAGCCGCGGUAAUACGAAGGGGGCUAGCGUUGCUCGGAAUCACUGGGCGUACAGGGUGCGUAGGCGGGUCUUUAAGUCAGGGGUGAAAUCCUGGAGCUCAACUCCAGAACUGCCUUUGAUACUGAGGAUCUUUAGUUCGGGAGAGGUGAGUGGAACUGCGAGUGUAGAGGUGAAAUUCGUAGAUAUUCGCAAGAACGCCAGUGGCGAAGGCGGCUCACUGGCCCGAUACUGACGCUGAGGCACGAAAGCGUGGG